rnacentral:rRNA from 1 species
AGAGCGAACGCUGGCGGCAUGCUUAACACAUGCAAGUCGCACGGGCAGGGGCAACUCUGUCAGUGGCGGACGGGUGAGUAACGCGUAGGUAUCUAUCCUUGGGUGGGGGACAACUGUGGGAAACUACAGCUAAUACCGCAUGAAGACCGAGGUCUAAAGGCAUCUAGGGUAACCUGGUAUGUCGCCUGAGGAGGAGCCUGCGUACGAUUAGCUAGUUGGUGGGGUAACUGCCUACCAAGGCGACGAUCGUUAGCUGGUCUGAGAGGAUGAUCAGCCACAUUGGGACUGAGACACGGCCCAAACUCCUACGGGAGGCAGCAGUGGGGAAUAUUGGACAAUGGGCGCAAGCCUGAUCCAGCAAUGCCGCGUGUGUGAAGAAGGUCUUCGGAUUGUAAAGCACUUUCGACGGGGACGAUGAUGACGGUACCCGUAGAAGAGCCCCGGCUAACUUCGUGCCAGCAGCCGCGGU